GAAUCUCCCUAACCUCCUGAAUUCACUAGGCACUUUGCUAUGGACUCACCCCUGGCAUUGUUCAGCCAUGCUUUUUUCUUGGGAUGGUAGAUGUUGUAUACCUACCCCUCCAGAGAGUAGUGGGAAGAAAUGGGAGUUGCUGGAUCCUAAGGAAAAUCUGUUGGUCUUUGUUUGCCUCAACUCCUCCAGUGGGGAUGCUUUUUCCAUGCCCUCUACCCACAUAAGUAAACAUUUCCCAGGCACUCAGAUUUGUAUUCCUUGGUGUGCAGGUCCUACAGGUCAUCAGACGGCCGGACAACCCCCCAGCUGGGCAGUGCCAACCCCUCCACCCCCCAGCCUGCCUCCCCUGAUGUCAGCAGUAGCCACUCUUUGUCAGAAUACUCCCAUGGUCAGUCCCCUAGGAGCCCCAUUAGCCCGGAACUGCACUCAGCACCCCUCACCCCUGUGGCUCGGGACACUCCGCGACACUUAGCCAGUGAGGAUACCCGUUGUUCCACGCCAGAGCUGGGGCUGGAUGAACAGGUAAGGGACGCAGCCUUUGGGUGGGGUUGGCAUGGUUGGGGGAUGGAACCAGGAAGGGACAGCAUCUGCUGAAGGGGGACCUAGCCAUCCCCUCCCCCUUUUGAAGGGACAAAGGGCUGCACUUACAUUGAUCUCCUCAACGUUCAGUGGAACUGUAUUGAUCAUUGCUAAAUGAUCAAUACAGUUGUCUGGGUACACCCUAGAAGGAGUGUUCCCAGACUGUCCCAGGAACACUAGAUAGACUGGUCCUAGGCUCCAGGCCACAAGGUUUGUGGCAGGGCCUUGGAGCAGGAAGCAGGCUGGCUGGGACUGGGUCCUCAAAGAGCAACUUGUCUGCCUACAGUCUGUCCAGCCCUGGGAGCGGCGGACCUUCCCCCUGGCGCACAGUCCCCAGGCGGAGUGUGAGGACCAGCUGGAUGCACAGGAGCGAGCAGCCCGCUGCACUCGACGCACCUCAGGCAGCAAGACUGGCCGGGAGACAGAGGCAGCGCCCACCUCGCCUCCCACUGUCCCCCUCAAGAGUCGGCAUCUGGUGGCAGCAGCCACAGCUCAGCGCCCGACUCACAGAUGAGCGGGAGACAGGCAUCUAAACAGACUCACUAACUAUUGGCAUUAAAGCUUCAGAAAUCUCUGCGUUUGAUAUUCAAACAUCAUAUGCCGGAAAUUUUCACAGUUUUUAGUGAACUUAAGGAAUUUAGAUCCUACUUUGGUAUUUUUUUUUUUCUUGUUUUAAUUUUUGUUUUGUUUUUGUUUCCAUGUUUUCUUGUCACACACCUGAGCACUUCCUCCUGUUGGCAAACAGAAGUUCAGGAUGAGACCCUGCUGGCCUGGUCCUGGCACAUCCUCUGCACUGUUGAAUCACUGGACUUACGGAUCUUAGAUGACCACCCCCUCCCUCACACCUGUGGGCAGGGCAGAACAGCCUGGCGGUCAGAGGGCUACAGUUGAGCCUGGCCUUCUUGAGCUAGGGUGGAAUGGGGCA
rnacentral:sRNA from 1 species